GAUGGACGCUGGCGGCGUGCUUAACACAUGCAAGUCGAACGGGAAACCUUUUAUUGCAGCUUCGGCAGAUUUAGCUGGUUUCUAGUGGCGGACGGGUGAGUAACGCUUGGGUAACCUGCCUUAUACAGGGGGAUAACAGUCAGAAAUGGCUGCUAAUACCGCAUAAGCGCACAGAGCUGCAUGGCUCAGUGUGAAAAACUCCGGUGGUAUAAGAUGGACCCGCGUUGGAUUAGCUGGUUGGUGGGGUAACGGCCCACCAAGGCGACGAUCCAUAGCCGGCAUGAGAGGGUGAACGGCCACAUUGGGACUGAGACACGGCCCAGACUCCUACGGGAGGCAGCAGUGGGGAAUAUUGCACAAUGGGGGAAACCCUGAUGCAGCGACGCCGCGUGAAGGAAGAAGUAUCUCGGUAUGUAAACUUCUAUCAGCAGGGAAGAUAAUUACGGUACCUGACUAAGAAGCCCCGGCUAACUACGUG
rnacentral:rRNA from 1 species